GGGGACGUAGCUCAAUUGGGAGAGCACCGCCUUUGCAAGGCGGGGGUUAGGGGUUCGAGUCCCCUCGUCUCCA
rnacentral:tRNA from 1 species